AGAUGAAAUUGGGAGAGAGGAAAGGGAGGCGCAGGUCUGAGCUGAUUUCCCUCUGAAAUCGAGAGAGAUCAUGGAAGAAAAGAAGAUAACUAUGUUGUUUACAAUCAGAGAGAAUUUGGGGUUUCAUUGAAGAUUUGAGCUUGUAAAAGAUGGAAAUAGGGUUUUAACUUUUCUGUUGCUGGGAAUUGUCUGAGUAAUGAUUGUUGAAGAAGCAGUCGAUGUGAUGGGGGUUCUUGAGAUACAAAUCGAAGAAGAGGUGAAUUGUUGUGAGAAGAGAUUUACAGUGAAGAGAAGAUGAUGAUGCUCAUGGCGAGAAAUUGAGAAGAAAAUGAAAUCAAAGAGAUUUGGGUUUGGGUUAAUUUGAGAAAUCAGAGAAGAGCUCAGAUCUGUGGUUAGUAAAUCUGGUGGAGUAAUUUGAGAAGAAAUAAAAAGGGUUUUUAGCUGAGCAGUUAAUGGAGAGGUUUGAUUUGAGAAAUUAAUGGAUGGGUUUGUUUCUGGAACUGAUUGAAGUUAGAAAUGGAUAUAUAAUGGGUCUGAAAUUACUAUUAGGGUUCUUGAAGGAGGAUGAACUGUGUUGGCAGAGGAGAUGGUAUUGUUUCAGAUGUGUUGGUCAGCUGCAGAGAAUGAGAGCUAACUGAUGCUUGUGGUUGCAGCUGUUAAAUUCAAGGGUUGUGAAAGCUGAGUAGUAAGGUGUUUUUAGUGACAGUGAGCUGGAAUUUGAGUCUGCAAUGGAAAUAUGAUGGUGCAGUUACAGCUGGUGAAUGCAAUUGUAGUGGUGCUUGAGAAGAGAAGGAGAAGGAGUCUAAGUUUGAAUGAAUGUGACUGUGCUGGUUAGAUGGGAUAUUUGAGAUUGUAGGGGUUGAAAAGAAGCUGUUUGUGACUUGGUUUGGUGCAAUGUAUGUGCUGGUCAUACUUAGAAGAAGAGAUGGAUAUGCAGGUGGCAUCUGGUGUUGGCUGCCAUAGGAAAUUGAUGGCAAUGGUGGAGACUCAGGUGCAGGUGCAAGGCAAGUGAUGUUGCUGUUGCUGUCAGUAAGAGAAACAGUUGUUAAUGAGCUGCAGAAUGGAAGAUACAGCUGAAAAUGGAAGCUACAACCAAUUGAUUGAAGGUUUGAGCUGUGAGAAUGCCUGAAUUGCACUAGAUGAAUGAUUAGGAAUAUGUAUAUGAAUGAAAUGUGCAGGGAUUGAACUGAGAUGGAGAAUUGAAGACAAGGUGAUGCUAUGUCAUGGAAGAAGAGAAUUUGGUCAUGGUCUGGGAGUGUGAAGAUCUGGUUGCUGUCGAGGAUAAACUCAGGUGGAAUAAAAUUACAAGGCUGAGAUGGCUUUUGUUUGUCUGCAAUGGGGUGGUUUUGCUGGUGGUGGUCUGAGAUGUGGUUAUGAGAUGUUGUUGUUGCCAUUGUGAGCAGGAAUCCACAAAGAGAGUUGAGAAGGAGCUGAGUCUUUGGUGGUUUGAUAAGGUUGCAGCUGAAAUGGAAUUGUUAUGCAGCUGGGUAUAAAUCUUGUUGUAAUUUGUGUUGCCGCAACUACGUAUUGUUGCAGUUAAAGAGGAGCUGAAACUGGUGGUGAUUGUGCUGAAUUAACAAACAUGAGUCUUGCUGAGAAGAUUGAGAUGAGUUAGCUCUGGCUUGUACUGCAAUAAACGAGAUGGCUGUGCAAGAAGGUUUGAGCAAAGUGCAGAGUGAUGCACCACAAUGGCGCAUCAGUGAUUGAGGCCUGUGCAAUGGCCUUGGCCAGAACCAACUCUGUUAAGUCAGGUGGAUUACUCAGACCUGACUCAUCUGACUGGUUCCAACUGAGUUGACCCGAUUGACUGACUCAGUGAUCUUGACUGAGUUGACCCAGUUGACUGGUGACCGGUUUGACUUUGCCGGUCACCUGAGCUCUUUUCCGGUGACUUCUCCGACCAUUUUACCAGUUCCCGACGACCUCUUUUGGGACAUAUUUCUACAUGGGUAUUUUCACAUAUGAACUUGGUGGACCACAUAGGAUAUGGGCCUUUGGAGGAUUGACCUAGUUUUGGAAAGAUGAAAAGCUACAAAAGGAAAAAGUUUCUACUUCUUUUGGAGGACGUAUUUUUUCUACUUGGAAUUUUGGAGAGCGGCGACUAGGAUUUGCUUUCGUUUAUUUUUCAUCUUCUUCAUUUCAUUUUUGAUUAUGAUUAUGAUAAACUCAAAGGCUACGAGUAACUAAAUACUAUUAUUGGUUAUGGGAUAAAGUGGAUUUCACAAAUGAUAUUUGAUUCAAUGAAUUAGUUUUGUCUCAA